rfam:Musa acuminata subsp. malaccensis Doubled-haploid Pahang (DH-Pahang) genomic chromosome, chr4
GGGUUGGAGGUGGAGCUCCUUGAAGUCCAAAGGAGGGUCUUGGUUGGGUGGAUUGAGCUGCUGGUUUAUGGAUUCCACUGCCCUAUUCCAUGUUUUUCUUUGCUAUAGUUGAUGACAAAGAUGGUGAAUGUUUUGGGAUAGGCUUGUGGUUUGCAUAACUCAGGAGCUGCAUCAACCCAGCCUGACCUUUAUUUGGAUUGAAGGGAGCUCUACAUCUGUUUACU